CACAUGCAAGUCGAACGGCAGCACGGGAGCAAUCCUGGUGGCGAGUGGCGAACGGGUGAGUAAUAUAUCGGAACGUGCCCAGUCGUGGGGGAUAACGCAGCGAAAGCUGUGCUAAUACCGCAUACGAUCUAUGGAUGAAAGCGGGGGAUCGCAAGACCUCGCGCGAUUGGAGCGGCCGAUAUCAGAUUAGCUAGUUGGCGGGGUAAAAGCCCACCAAGGCGACGAUCUGUAGCUGGUCUGAGAGGACGACCAGCCACACUGGAACUGAGACACGGUCCAGACUCCUACGGGAGGCAGCAGUGGGGAAUUUUGGACAAUGGGCGCAAGCCUGAUCCAGCAAUGCCGCGUGCAGGAUGAAGGCCUUCGGGUUGUAAACUGCUUUUGUACGGAACGAAACGGCGAGCUCUAAUACAGUUUGCUAAUGACGGUACCGUAAGAAUAAGCACCGGUUAACUACGUGCCAGCAGCCGCGGUAAUACGUAGGGUGCGAGCGUUAAUCG
rnacentral:rRNA from 1 species